rnacentral:rRNA from 1 species
AGCGAACGCUGGCGGCAGGCUUAACACAUGCAAGUCGAGCGGGCACUUUCGGGUGUCAGCGGCGGACGGGUGCGUAACGCGUGGGAACGUGCCCUCUGGUUCGGAAUAACUCAGGGAAACUUGAGCUAAUACCGGAUACGCCCUUUUGGGGAAAGGCUUGCUGCCGGAGGAUCGGCCCGCGUCUGAUUCGCUAAUUGGUGAGGUAACGGCUCACCAAGGCGACGAUCAGUAGCUGGUCUGAGAGGAUGAUCAGCCACACUGGGACUGAGACACGGCCCAGACUCCUACGGGAGGCAGCAGUGGGGAAUAUUGGACAAUGGGCGCAAGCCUGAUCCAGCCAUGCCGCGUGAGUGAUCAAGGCCUUAGGGUUGUAAAGCUCUUUUAUCCGGGACGAUAAUGACGGUACCGGAGGAAUAAGCCCCGGCUAACUUCGUG